CCUGGAUAGACCGGGCCAGCACUGGUGU
rnacentral:sRNA from 1 species